rnacentral:lncRNA from 1 species
UCCAGGAAGCUAUCAAACUUUUCUGGAGAAGACGUACGAAAUAGAUCAGUAAAAUACUUAACUGCUACUUCCUCUACCUUAGAUUCCAAAUUUACCUAGUUACCAUCUUCAUUAUAUAAACUAAUAAUUCUAUUCUGAAUCCGCCUUUUUUUAGUGAGAGCAUGGUAACAUUUUGUGUUCCGAACACCGCAAGUAUGCCAUUUCGUCAUACUCUUAUGUUCCCAAUAUUGUUCCUCGUCCUGGUAUGCUUCCUGUAAUUUUCGAGAGACCUCCAGAACCUCCUCAUUUGUCUUUGAGAAAUCAUUUUGAGUUUCCUCAAGUGCCUUUUGUAAUGUAUUUAUUUUUUUCCUUUCCGGAUGGCGGAUAAGCCUUUCUCCAAACCGAAAUCUCAUGUCUACAAUUAUGAAUAUUUUCAGCGACCCCUACUUCCCCCUUCAACUCCUCAAGUUCCAACCUCUUGUGAUAGAUUCAAUAAGACCUUUUUCCCCUAUCCAUCGCUUAUCGAACCGAAAUCGCCGACGAAAUUUGAGUAUUUUGUUAUCAAUAGAGGCCACAAUAGGUAUAUGGUCUGAACCAAUCAUCCCCAAAUAUUCUAGAUGGGAGCAUGGGAACAGAUUAUGCCACUCAUUAUUCCCUAGUGCUCGAUCUAACCGGCAUUUUACCACUUGCUUCUUUCUCCUCCCACUC